UAGGUUUCUGCUAAGUCGCAAGACGAUGUAUAGGAGCUGACGCCUGCCCGGUGCUGGAAGGUUAAGGGGAUCUGUUAGAGCAAUCGAAGCAGUGAACUUAAGCCCCAGUAAACGGCGGCCGUAACUAGAACGGUCCUAAGGUAGCGAAAUUCCUUGUCGGGUAAGUUCCGACCCGCACGAAAGGCGUAACGAUUUGGGCACUGUCUCAA
rnacentral:rRNA from 1 species